GACGAACGCUGGCGGCGUGCUUAACACAUGCAAGUGGAGCGACGAACCGGGGCUUGCCCCGGGGCAGAGCCGCGAACGGGUGAGUAACACGUGGGUAACCCACCCCGAUGACCGGGACAACCCGAGGAAACUCGGGCUAAUACCGGAUGUGCUCCUUGACCUCGAGGUCAAGGCGUAAAGAUAGCUUCGGCCUUCGCAUCGGGACGGGCCCGCCGGCCCAUUAGCUUG
rnacentral:rRNA from 1 species